rnacentral:rRNA from 1 species
GAUGAACGCUGGCGGCGUGCUUAACACAUGCAAGUCGAACGGAAAGGCCCAAGCUUGCUUGGGUACUCGAGUGGCGAACGGGUGAGUAACACGUGGGUGAUCUGCCCUGCACUUCGGGAUAAGCCUGGGAAACUGGGUCUAAUACCGGAUAGGACCACAUUUUGGAUGGUGUGGUGGAAAGUUUUUCGGUGUGGGAUGAGCUCGCGGCCUAUCAGCUUGUUGGUGGGGUAAUGGCCUACCAAGGCGUCGACGGGUAGCCGGCCUGAGAGGGUGUACGGCCACAUUGGGACUGAGAUACGGCCCAGACCCCUACGGGAGGCAGCAGUGGGGAAUAUUGCACAAUGGGCGCAAGCCUGAUGCAGCGACGUCGCGUGGGGGAGGACGGCCUUCGGGUUGUAAACUCCUUUCGCUAGGGACGAAGCGUUAUGUGACGGUACCUGGAGAAGAAGCACCGGCUAACUACGUG